GGGGAUAUUCCGAUGUAAGCUGCAUUGCUCUCUCACUCCCACGCGCCGGCUUGACGCAAAUCCUCGCGUGGGCGGUGCCGCGCGUGGGACGGAAUACCGAGCGAGAAAGAGAGAGAAGACCUGAACGGUCACACGCGGUUUGGAGAAAUCGAGCGUCGCCAUCGCUCAGCGGUGGAUGGGUGCCGUCAGAAUAAGAGCCCAAACAAGCUGAUAAAAACAUCAUAGCGACGGAUGACUCCAGUUCAUUGAUUAACAUCCAUUAAAGUGGAAAACUACAUGUGUACUUUUUAUCCCGACGGCACCCAUUCACCACAGAGGAUCCACCGAUGAGCAAGCCAUGUAACGCUAAAUAUCUCCAGCCGAGCUCAUCUACAUCUCGGAAAGCCUGAGGGUGACUACAUUUUUCAUUUGAUGAACCGUUUCUUUUCAUUAUAACAUUUAAACUCUUAAACCAGGAGCAGCAAAAUAUUUUUGGUUCUCGGAAAUGCUUGCUGUAACGUUUAAACAACGCAAGGCUGUUUUGCAGCUUACAAUGCCGAUUGCAUUUAUGCAUCGAAUGACAGCGAGCAAACCCCGCAGGAAAUUUACUCACGCUCUGUUGGGCGCAAAAUCCCCCCCGAAACCCACUUGAGCACACCGCUCUACAAAUGCGCAUUCAGAAUGGUCAGAAAGUUUUUUCCUUCGUACAUCUCAAUAAAAUUACAGCUUUCAACAGACGCCUAAACCGACGCCACAGCAGAAUCUACCUAUGAAAAUUAAACGACGCUUGGUUUUUGCUCUAGCUUGACAAAUGCACGAGCUGCAUAUUAAAAAAUGAAACGCAGUCGUGCAUCUUAAAGGCUGGAUCUUUAGAUAGAGGGGUGCAUCAGCAGCCUCCCAUCUGCCUGAGCAUCUUGAGCUAUUUUGGGAAGGAGGCUGGGCACAGCGAACAGCCCCUGGGAGGAAGUGCGUGGUGGAUGCUGUCAACCCCCACUUUCGUGUUGGUCUAUUCCUCAAAACAAAAGCUUUUCCAAGAUAUCUUCCAUCUCAUGUGACAAAAAUGACAAGCACCUCGCCUGCAAUCACGGAUCCUUUUACCGGGGUUUCGCAAAGCGUAUAUCUGCUCUCAAGGGAACGGGAUGAUUUUCUGUGGUUUGCCAUCGCAGCGACGCUCCCCGUCUUGUAAACAACGCAUGUUUGUAUCGUAUGUCAUUAUUUCGGGUAGGGCUACGACGUUUGUAGCGUGUUUUUAAAAUAACGUGAAGCGAUCAUUUAGACGGAAGUUGCGAAGGAUGGUAAAAUAGUGUAUCCGAAACAUAGAUGACAGCUAAUAGCUAACAUUUCAUGUUGUAUUACA